ACAGGUCACUGUUUAUAGACCCGAACCCGGUGAUCUAACCAUGUCCAGGAUGAAGCUUGGGUAACACCAAGUGGAGGUCCGAACCGACUGAUGUUGAAAAUCAGCGGAUGAGGUGUGGUUAGGGGUAACGGCCCACCUAGGCGACGAUCAGUAGCCGGACUGAGAGGUUGACCGGCCACAUUGGGACUGAGACACGGCCCAGACUCCUACGGGAGGCAGCAGUAGGGAAUCUUCGGCAAUGGGGGCAACCCUGACCGAGCAACGCCGCGUGAGUGAAGAAG
rnacentral:rRNA from 1 species